rnacentral:rRNA from 1 species
AGUGAACGCUGGCGGUAGGCCUAACACAUGCAAGUCGAACGGCAGCACAGUAAGAGCUUGCUCUUACGGGUGGCGAGUGGCGGACGGGUGAGGAAUACAUCGGAAUCUACUUUUUCGUGGGGGAUAACGUAGGGAAACUUACGCUAAUACCGCAUACGACCUACGGGUGAAAGCAGGGGAUCUUCGGACCUUGCGCGAUUGAAUGAGCCGAUGUCGGAUUAGCUAGUUGGCGGGGUAAAGGCCCACCAAGGCGACGAUCCGUAGCUGGUCUGAGAGGAUGAUCAGCCACACUGGAACUGAGACACGGUCCAGACUCCUACGGGGGGCAGCAGUGGGGAAUAUUGGACAAUGGGCGCAAGUCUGAUCCAGCCAUACCGCGUGGGUGAAGAAGGCCUUCGGGUUGUAAAGCCCUUUUGUUGGGAAAGAAAAGCAGCAGGUUAAUACCCCGCUGUUCUGACGGUACCCAAAGAAUAAGCACCGGCUAACUUCGUG